GAUGAAGAACGUAGCGAAAUGCGAUAAGUAAUGUGAAUUGCAGAAUUCAGUGAAUCAUCGAAUCUUUGAACGCACAUUGCGCCCGCCAGUAUUCUGGCGGGCAUGCCUGUUCGAGCGUCAUUUCAACCCUCAGGCCCCCAGUGCCUGGUGUUGGGGAUCGGCCCAGCCUUCCUGUAAGGCCGCCGGCCCCGAUAUCUAGUGGCGGUCUCGCUGUAGUCCUCCUCUGCGUAGUAGCACAACCUCGCAGUUGGAACGCGGCGGUGGCCAUGCCGUUAAACACCCCACUUCUGAAAGUUGACCUCGGAUCAGGUAGGAAUACCCGCUGAACUUAAGCAUAUCAAUAAGCGGAGGA
rnacentral:misc_RNA from 1 species